CAGCAGCCGCGGUAAUUCGAGAGGUCCGAGCGUUAAUCAGAAUCACUGGGCUUAAAGCGUACGCAGGCGGACCGGUAGGUAUCUUGUGAAAUCCCACGGCUUAACCGUGGAACUGCAGGGUAAACCCCCGGUCUUGAGGCAGGUAGGGGUCAGUGGAACCAUGAGUGGAGCGGUGAAAUGCGUAGAUAUUCAUGGGAACGCCAAUGGCGAAGGCAGCUGACUGGGCCUGUUCUGACGCUCAUGUACGAAAGCGUGGGGAGCAAACAGGACUAGAUACCCUGGUAGUCCACGCCGUAAACGAUGCACACUAGGUCGGGGGAGCUCUCAUGCUUUCCCGGCCGAAGGUAAACUGAUUAGUGUGCCGCCUGGGGAGUACGGUCGCAAGGCUAAAACUCAAAGGAAUUGACGGGGGCUCACACAAGCGGUGGAGCAUGUUGCUUAAUUCGAGGCAACGCGAAGAACCUUACCUGGUCUUGACAUGUACGGAUUAACCUUUGGAAACAUUGGCCACGCCCUUUGGGUGGAACGUACACAGGUGCUGCAUGGCUGUCGUCAGCUCGUGCUGUGAAGUGUUGGGUUAAGUCCCUUAACGAGCGCAACCCCUAUCGCUAGUUACUAACGCGUUAUGGCGAGGACUCUAGCGAGACUGCCGGUGUCAAACCGGAGGAAGGCGGGGAUGACGUCAAGUCCUCAUGGCCCUUACGACCAGGGUUGCAAACGUGCUACAAUGGUAUGGACAGAGCGACGCGAGGCCGCGAGGCGGAGCAAAUCGCAAAAACCAUGCCCCAGUUCGGAUAGCAGGCUGCAAUUCGCCUGCUUGAAGCCGGAAUCGCUAGUAAUCGGAGAUCAGCUACGCUCCGGUGAAUACGUUCCUGAGCCUUGUACACACCGCCCGU
rnacentral:rRNA from 1 species